UAUCUCUCACAAUGCAAGAACACCUGGCUAAGUUUAUAUGAUUAUAUCCUCUGACAAAUAACAAAGAGCCAAACAAUCAGUAUAGUUGUUAGGCUUUAAUUCUAUGAGGUCUGUCCUUGACGAUGGUGAUUCAUCUUUAUCGGAGUUCAUCAGCCCCCCAGCGAAGCCAGCAAACUGUUGUAAAUAGCACGCUUCGGAUUCGAAACGUGAAAGCGACUAACCGACUCCACCGAACUUUCUCCUCUCUUCUUUUCUUCUUCUAAAAUAUCAAAGGCGAUCAUCGCUUUAUCAAAUGAUUCUCCACUUCCAAUGGUACUAUCAGAUUCUUCGGCAUCUCCUUUCCCUUAAAAAUCAAAUCUAACCCAAUCCAAUCACACCAACAUCUCUUCUCUUCCUGUUCUUGUACUGAUACAGAAAUUGCCGGUAGAUCUGAGUUGUUGCAGUGAAAUAGACGAUGGGGGCUGAUGGUCUAGGAACUGUGUUUACACCAUCAUUGGAAGGAAUGAAGCACGUCAAAUCUGAUCACGGAGAAAUGCUCACUAAACCUUUCUUGGAUGUCUGCAAAUUGAUUUUGCCUGUUAUCGAUAAGUUUGGAGCUGCCAUGACCCUUGUAAAAUCUGAUAUCGGUACGAGAUUGGAAAACAAGUAUUUGUCUGAUCCGUCUAAAUACAACCACUUAUACACUAUGAUUCAAGAGGAGGUUGAUGCUAAAACAGCCAAAGGAUCUUCCAGUUGUACCAAUUGUCUUCUUUGGCUAACCAGAGCAAUGGAUUUCCUUGUGGAACUGUUCCUGAAUUUACUUGCACACCCAGAUUGGACAAUGUCACAAGCCUGUACAGAUUCAUAUCGCAAGACACUGAAGAAAUUUCAUGGCUGGGUUGCUAGUUCAUAUUCCACUGUUGUCAUGAAGCUUGUUCCAGACAGGAAGAAGUUCAUGGAAGUAAUUUCUGGCCCAGGCAAUGUUUCUGCUGACAUGGAGCAAUUCUGUACAACCUUUCCUCCAUUUCUUGAAGAGAAUCACAAGUUCCUGCCCAAAUCUAUGUCAGUGUCUGUUCCUUGCUUUCCUGUUCAUGCCUAAGUUGUAAGCUACGGCAUUACCAGUAAAAUAAGAAAGGAUGGCAAGUGGAAUCAACUAUGCUAGAUUCCAUAUGUGGCUAGUGUUGGUCUGGAUGAUAUGAAAACUUUAUAAUUGAGGAGAUCCUUCUGAUGACCGGCAGUGGUUUUGGUUACCUUUUCUCCCGUUGAUUUAGCUUCAAAAACUUUAGACGUUAGAGCUACAUCAAAUUAUACAGCUAUUUACUCUUCCAUUCAACUCUUCUGUUCAACAUGUGUUAUGAUAACUUCAAUUUUUUGAUUUA